UACAGAGGGUGCGAGCGUUAAUCGGAAUUACUGGGCGUAAAGCGUGCGUAGACGGUAGCGUAAGUCAGAUGUGAAAGCCCCGGGCUCAACCUGGGAAUUGCAUUUGAGACUGCUCUGCUCGGGUGCGGAAGAGGGAAGCGGAAUUUCCGGUGUAGCGGUGAAAUGCGUAGAUAUCGUGAGGAACACCAGAGGCGAAGGCGGCUACCUGGACAAUUGCCGACGCUCAGGCACGAAAGCGUGGGGAGCAAAAGGG
rnacentral:rRNA from 1 species